CCCACGCCCAGCGAAGGCGGCCUUGGUGGUGGGAUGGGAGAGCCGCCCGCCUGCUCCUACUUGG